GCAUAUCAAUAAGCGGAGGAAAAGAAACCAACAGGGAUUGCCCUAGUAACGGCGAGUGAAGCGGCAACAGCUCAAAUUUGAAAUCUGGCCCUCGGGUCCGAGUUGUAAUUUGUAGAGGAUGCUUUUGGUGCGGUGCCUUCCGAGUUCCCUGGAACGGGACGCCAUAGAGGGUGAGAGCCCCGUCUGGUUGGACACCAAGCCUCUGUAAAGCUCCUUCGACGAGUCGAGUAGUUUGGGAAUGCUGCUCUAAAUGGGAGGUAUAUGUCUUCUAAAGCUAAAUACCGGCCAGAGACCGAUAGCGCACAAGUAGAGUGAUCGAAAGAUGAAAAGCACUUUGAAAAGAGGGUUAAAUAGUACGUGAAAUUGUUGAAAGGGAAGCGCUUGUGACCAGACUUGAGCCCGGUUAAUCAUCCAGCCUUCUGGCUGGUGCACUUGGCCGGCUCAGGCCAGCAUCAGUUCGGCGCGGGGGAUAAAGGCUUCGGGAAUGUGGCUCCUCCGGGAGUGUUAUAGCCCGUUGUGUAAUACCCUGUACUGGACUGAGGUUCGCGCAUCUGCAAGGAUGCUGGCGUAAUGGUCAUCAGCGACCCGUCUUGAAACACGGACCAAGGAGUCGUCUUCGUAUGCGAGUGUUCGGGUGUCAAACCCCUACGCGUAAUGAAAGUGAACGCAGGUGAGAGCUUCGGCGCAUCAUCGACCGAUCCUGAUGUUCUCGGAUGGAUUUGAGUAAGAGCAUACGGGGCCGGACCCGAAAGAAGGUGAACUAUGCCUGUAUAGGGUGAAGCCAGAGGAAACUCUGGUGGAGGCUCGCAGCGGUUCUGACGUGCAAAUCGAUCGUCAAAUAUGGGCAUGGGGGCGAAAGACUAAUCGAACCUUCUAGUAGCUGGUUUCCGCCGA
rnacentral:rRNA from 1 species